ACAGUGGACGCGAGCAUCUUUGUUGUAAGUAAUUUAGAGCGUACGGUGGAUGCCUUGGCACCAGGAGCCGAUGAAGGACGUAGGAGGCUGCGAUAAGCCUCGGGGAGCUGUCAACCGAGCUGUGAUCCGGUAAUUUAGAGCGUACGGUGGAUGCCUUGGCACCAGGAGCCGAUGAAGGACGUAGGAGGCUGCGAUAAGCCUCGGGGAGCUGUCAACCGAGCUGUGAUCCG
rnacentral:rRNA from 1 species